ensembl:lncRNA
CUUUUGCUUUAAGGGAAAGUAAUAGUAACACAUUGCUAUGGAAACCUUUUUUUUCCUGCUAGAAGUAUUUCAUCACCAAUUAUGCUGCACUUUCUGCAUCUCAGAACUCCAUAAGUCAUCUCCAAAGAUGGACACUGGCCACAGCUGCAUAUGCGUCUGAUCCGUGAUCUACGGACACGGCUACAUCUUUCUGAGGUAUCAAUACUGUGAGAACAUCUCAUCUUCACUUCUUGCUUCUAUGUCUACAAACAGAUUUUCAGUAGGUGACAAAUGGCAUCAUAUAUAUGAAUCACCCAGGUGAAUGAGUUAUUUUGAAUUGCAUUACUCAUACCACUCUGUUGAUGCUUCAUGAAGAGCUCAGAUUGGAUGUUCUAUGUAGAAGCAUAAGUACCUUUCCC